GCAAAGAAGGUAGAAUGAGAGAGGAACAAAGAGCAAGCGGUCAAUUAGUAGUGGGCAUUAAAGCGUGAUCCUCGAGCGCAGCGCAGGCAAAAUCUGACAAGGAAAGAGAGGGAGAGGCGAAGCGAGCAGAGCCAAUCAAUUAAAUGCAAGAGAUAUAGAGAACGAGAAAGUGUAUGGAUUAACAGGGAACGGCUGCGAAGUUGAGGAGAGGACGGAAUCUAGAAAAACGGCUCAAUAGAGAAGAGAAACAGCCGCCAUGAAAAUGGAGAAUGAAAGCGAUGGCUGAAAAAUGCGAAACGAAUUGCUAUCAUAAAUGGAACAUUGGCCCACCGCCAUUGGCAUCAGCCGCCCUCUGGCUUUCCGUCGCCUUCUGUCACGAUUCUGUCGUGGCCUUCCCAUGUCUGGUAGGCCUCGGGAAGGAAAGUCCUUUCUAAAAAAUUAAUUAAAAUCUUUUUUAAUCAUAAAAAUUUGAUUGAAUUGGUAAACUCGUUGCUUGGAUCACGAGUUCAUAUGCUCUAUGAGAAUCAAAUGUAUCAUCAUACUAUGAUGAUUUGUUAUUAAUUUUUGUGACAAAGGAAGGAGAUUGGAUACAAACAGGAACAGUUUGUUCGAUGAUCUUGAGCUGGUAGCCUACAAAGGAACAGGAUUAACAAAAUAAAACACAAUCA